GAUGAGAUAGAAGUUGGAGUUAAGUAAGUGAAAACUCUGUCUUCAGAAUCUCAAGUUUCAAAAGAAACAUAACUCUGGAUUUUGGAUCGUCUGACUUCCUUUUCCAGUGAUGUGUCAAGUCCAGUAUUUCAGUGUGAAACACUGAUGUGACAGACUGCCAUAAUGCAAUGUGUUUAACCACCUCAGUGAUGCAUCAAGUGAAAGGAGUUCCCAAAGAUUCAGUUCACACAUGCACACACACACAAAAAAAAUGAGGGAUAAACAGUUUGGGGAAGCGGAACAUAAAUUUUUCACAUAGUUUGGCACAAAUUCAAUUAUAAUUUGUAAAUGUUCAAUCAAUUAGACCACUCAAUUGGUUAACUUAUAACUUUGAAGGCAGAUUAUCUUUUCCAAGAGAAAAUCUUCUCUUAACCAAGAGCUUUUGUGUUAACUGCUCCAGAAGGAAAAUACUACAUUUGCCAUAGAAUAUGAAUAGACUCUCAGGAGAAAAGUGUGUAAUACCAUGAUGUCUUUGGCUGAAUUUCAAGAUUUUCAUAGGAAUAGGCUAGUUAAACCUUUAAAGUUCCAAAUGACACACAAACACUUCCCUUCCCCCCCCCCAAAAAAAAAAGGAACAAUGCAAGUUUCUUUCCUUUACAUUAGAAGUAAUAAUAUGAUGUCUUUAUCAUAUUUAACAUUUAUAGUGGUAAUUCAGUAUUAAUUGCUGGUACAUUCACAUUUAGAAUUGAAGAAACUUCAUGAAAGUCCAUCAGUUUUUCCUUAAUUUUCAAAUACUUUUCCGGAGUCUCACUUCCACACUUAUUUUACUUGUAGCCUAUUUAAGUUCAAAACCUGGCAGUUCCUAUACAAGAUAUCAUAGUCUUCAUACAUUAUCAACAGUCACUUCACAAACAUUGCAGACUACAUAUGGGUGACUUUACUGGCAUCUGGGUGCCAGGGAAGGAAGACUUGUAAACAUGGAGAUACAGAAAGCUGAGGGAAAUGGGAGGGAGAUCCACACCAGGUAAGUACACAGCAUGCACUGCUGUAUUUUUUGUUACAACUCUACCACUAGGGGUGAAAAAAAUCUUCUAUUAAACAUUUUUUCCUGCUACAAGGACAGCACAUGCCUGUCAGAGAGCAGGAACACUGAUGGGUUUGGCAGCCUCAUGAUGGCACCAGAAGAAAACAGUGAGACGCUGGAGCUAUGUCCCCUCUGCUAUCUUGCAGGACAAAUUCGUUGAAUACAUUUUAUGUGGAGAAACCACAACUGUCUGCAGUCUGGGAGCAGUUCAUGAGUGGCUGUGGUCCACUGACAGAACAACAACUGAAAUAUUGUUCAAACAGAAAAUGUUGCAUUUACUCUCUCUCCUGUUGAAGGCAGUCGCUGUGUUGGCUGCACAAGUUUGACUGAGCACUGAACAUGUAGACCAAAACUAAAUCAUAACCAGAGUCUGUCUGAAAUCUUGUCUGCCAACAAGCACAACAGAAAUGAUGUCUGUCCAAGCACUGCUGCCUCUGGGUUAAGAUGUAUCGUAAUGAUGAGCUGCCUCACUAAUUAUAGCUGAAUGCAGGAGUCUUGGCUGCCUGCUUGUGACUGCAUGUAACCUUUUUGAAAGCCCCCAAAUAUCUUAGGAGCCUGAAUCUCAUUGAAAGUCAGAUAGCUGAGGGGUGACUAAAUAGAAAACAGUCUAAAUGCAGUGAGAUUGCCUGGAAUGGUCUCAUAAAUUUCAGAGCUCUCCUUCUACCCAAGUUUUGGCAGUUGUACUCUGUAGAAGUUACAUAGUGGCUGGCUGACUGUUAAAUACUGUUUAGUUGGCCAAAUCUGGAUGAUUUUUGGAAGAGUGAGUGGCUGCUAAUUUUUUUCAGCCUCCCAUCACCCACGCCUGUUGAUCUGCUGUGGCCGUGCAAUAUUGGUCUGUACUACCCAAGGUGGUGGGGAGCAUGGAGCGCUCCCACAGAACGUGCAGCAUGCCAGCUCUCUUUAGUUCAGUGAGGACUGGAGGAUUUUUUUCCCUGUGGAUCUUUUACAUGCAAGUCAGGCUCCAUAUAGCCCACAGUUAAAAAAAAAAAGAAAAGGAAAAAAAAUCCUUCACUACAGAGACAAAUGGCAACAUGUGGCUGGAAGAUAACAGAAAUGUACAUGCAAGUGCAAAAAUUAAAUAUGGAAAUAUGAAAAUGAGGGUUUGUGUUUUGGGGUUUUUUAAGCAAAAAAACUGAUUCACUUCUCAUUGCUGGAAAUUACAUGGGGUUUUAUUUCCUUAGCAGCCCAUCUCAGAAAAACAAAAUUUUUCAGUAUUAUAUUCUGCAGUUCCUCCCUCCCUCCCUGUCCCUUUUCCCUGUCCACAGCCUACAUCUUUGCCAGAUACUUAAUGCAGAAGUGAUUAGCUCAGCUUCUUGCAUGCUCUGCCCCUGCUCUGGGGUGGUUUAAGCGAUCUGCCUGGUUGCAGAAAAAAAAGUCACAGUGCUCACCAACGAGGCUGGGUGUCUCUGAGCCACAUCAUCCUGGAGGUGGCUGUUAAGAGCUGCCUCCAGGAGCAGCAGAGAGAUAGAGACACAGACUUCAGUGUUAAAGAUGCAGACUGCUGGGAUCACUCUGUUCCUUCUGUUAAUGACUCAGUCUGUAUUUACAGAGGAAUAAAGUAGGGGAAAAAAAAUCCCUGGUCCUGUAAUUUUCAUUAGUCCCCAAGAAAUCGAGUUAUUGAAGUAUUCUUUGGUAGGGAAGAAAAUUAGUUAUCUAGGCUUCCUCUUCCUAUGCAGGGAUUUUGUAUGAUUUUUGCCAAUAUUGCAUUUUAAAGUGUGUGGUUCUGGGACUGUCCUUCUCCAGGGGCCUUUGCUGUGUCAGGUACUAUUAGAAACUAAGGCUAAUUUGGGUCAAUAUUCCAUUAUAUGAAGCACAGUGAUAGGGAAAGGAGUUUUCAUUUGAAGGUAACUGGUCCUGGCCUGUACAUGGAGGCAGUCCUGACUGGAAAGAAACACAGACCCAUUUUGAACUUUCAGACACCAAAUUUUUGGGGUGCAAAGGUAAGCAGUGACUUAUUGAGUAGACUUAUGGGAGUAGAGACAGAAUUAGACAUUUUUUUAUAAUUCAUAUAACUCUAGAAAACAGUUGUGCCUUUUUUUUGGACAGAGUGCUAUCAUUCUCCAAAUGAGGCAGGCAUCAUCUUAUUGCCCUCAGUUUGUUUUUCAUUGUCACCCACGCACCCUGCUCCCACAGUCUGUGCUUUACUUUGCACAGAUAUUUAGAAUUCUCCAGUUGUUUCCACUACUUUUGAGAGCUUAUUUUCUCUCUUCCCUCUUUUUAUAGUUACUUUUUCCUUACAAUGCUUCUCAUUAAACUUUUUCUUCCACUUGACUACCUCCUUUCCAAUAACUUUUACUCUCUAGAGAGCAUCUAUAAUUUUUCUGGGCUAUAACAAACUUCUGAUUGACCAGUCCUCAGCUUUGAAGAGUGUCUUUUACUAUCUCAAAUGUACUAAUUGUGGAGUUUAACUUAUCUUCAUUUUCUUCCACUGCACAGUUCAGUGCCUCUAACCACUCCUCCUGGUUUCCCCAGGUUGACUGAUCAUAUUCAGAGACCAUGGAAGGGUAACCUGUUUUGAAGAUUAAUGCUACCUGCUCAUUUCCUGAUCAGGAAACUGUUGACUUUCACCUCCUCCCUACCACAGCAGAAGUUUGCACAAGAGGAAAGCAUGUGAGUACAGCCAGGAAAAAUGAAGAGCUGAAUGAGGCAGAGAUUAAAAGGUUAUUUAAGAGAGUCCUCAAAGACCAGUCUAAGGUUUGCUGCUGAGAAUGAAACCACUGAGAUGGAUAACGUUCUUACAAGAAAAGAUUUAAAAAAAUCUGUGAAGAUGUGCUGGCUAGUAUGAAGAUCAGAGGAAAGGAUGACCUGUCUGAAAAGAAGCUAUGUCCAGGAAAACAGAGGCUGAGAGGGGUAAAAAUUGCUAUCUGCUUUAAAGUUUCCUCCUUCAGCAAGGAUCAUGGUCAGCUAUCACUGGGGCUCCAAACCUGAGUUCACCUCGGGACCCACUCCAGGGAUAUGCUUUUUAAAAGCGUGAUGAGGACACACCGUCCAACGCUCCCGAAGGAAAGAAGGAGGAACAAGCGUGGUCAGUCAGAUUGGUUGCUUCCUUCUUUCAUGAUGCUGUUGGAUGUUCACCACAAGAGAUAUAUUCCUGGUGGAGAAAAACCUCUGAAGAAAAAGAGAAUUGAAGAAAAGACAGCUUUGGAAUGCAGCUAAACUACUGGACAACAGAUUUAUGAAAGUGUUGGGGAGAUUCUUGGAUAAUUUUGUCCAUGAAAAGCAAUCCUUGUAAUGAUGAAGAGAAGAGUGAUGAACAGAUUUUUCUCUAACACCGUAAUCCAGUACAAGGAAACAAACCUAGCAACGUGGCCGUAAAAUUAAUUCAAAUAAGUAAUGGAUAAGGAAAUAGGUAUAAUGAGUGGCCUUUAAUUUCAACUGUAGAGCAUCUCUAACCUUCAUGACAGUGCUCACACGCGUAUUCCUGUCUCACAUACUCACCUUCCUGCAAGUAUAUCCAGUGAACUGGCUUUGGCAGGAAAUCUUGGAUUGUGGACCACAAUUCAUUAGUCAUACCCUGUGGCUCAAUAUCACUUUCAGCAUGAUCCAAACUGCAAGUAUCCUUUGUGGAAGUAGAAGUGACAUGGUCCAAUGCUUCUGUCCUCUUCUUGGAAGGUUGUGAAGAAAGUUGUGAGAAAACUUCUUUAGUGCCCCGUACGUAUUCACAGAUUGACACAUGAUGAGUUCCCAAAAGAAACUGAGGAAAGCGGAUCAGAAAAUCACAGAAUGAAUCAUAAUAAAAUGGUCAGAAAGGGGGAUCAUCUAGCCCAUCAAUUUGCAGGAUUGAGUUCAGCUAAGUUAAUUCUGAUAGCCUCCUGUUACUGUAAUUUUUUUAAUUAUUAAAGUAUUUUUAAUAUUAGAAAUACCUGUUACUAUCCUCUAAGCAAGCCAUUUUGGUGCUUAGCUACUAUUUCUGCAACCUGGAAUUACAUCAUCAUGUUAGAAUUAAUAUAAGACAAUUGCUGGAAGUCCAUCACAGCCUUAAUAUGCUUCAUUCUUUCACUAGAUCCUUUCUGGAGUUUGGAAAGAGGCCUAACUGGCCAAAAUUUCUGUUCACUUUUUUAACAGUGUAAACUCGGCAUAAAUCCUUAGAAGGCCAAUAUUUUACUCCACAUUUCCACUAAAGCUGGAAUACAGUACCUGAGGACAGGAAACUCUUUAACUAGGAUGUAAAACCUACAGAUUUUCGUCUUCUCUGAGAUUUCAAAAUUUGUUCUUGAAGGCAGAAGGGCAGGGAUGGACAAAUAUGUAAUUGAGAGCUAAAGCAGGACAAUAAUGAACAAAUACCAUUAUUUUUCCUGUAGUUCUCCAAGGAAGCUAAGGUAGAGAUGUAGAAAGUCAGUAACAGUGAUGCACUUCACUUAGCAUGGGUUCAUGCAGUGCAAAAAGCUUAAUGUCUGGAGGUGAGCUGGCCCUAAUGGGCAUCAGUUGUUAUCCACAGAAAUGGAGCCUGUUAGAGGCAGCCUGGCUACCACAUCCAUCUGUGAUGGCUAGUGGGAUUUUCAACAUGCUUGUGACCUUUUCUUACUCAUUUUGCUUCAUUUUCAUCCAAUAAAAGCCAUCAUCUGACUGGUCCACCCAGCCCCGAAUUCUGCAGUCUGAGCCCAUUGGUGAGGGUUCAGUGAGAAGCUGAAGGGAGGAGGGAGAGGCUGCAAACAUAAAGCUGGGGAGGGAGGGGAGCUGCUGAAAGAUCUCUUCUCCUGACCAGCAACUACAUUUUUAUCAGGUUUUUUAUAUGUGCUCUUUUAUACAUAUAUGCAUGAAUAUGCAUAUACAUACACAUAUAUACAUAUAUAUAUAUCACUUUCUACACUUUUCUUAUUUCUUUCUGAAAUAACGACGAACUGCUGUAAAUCUGCUAACAGGCUAACAGAGGCCUUUACACACUGCCUUACACCACACAGGGUGAAAACCCUUUCCUACUCUAGCUGUCCUACAGCAGUCCCAUGGAUAUUGUAAAGCACCUGCAGUCAAAUCCACAUGAAAAUAACCCCACCAGGGCACCACCAACCACUUUAUCUCUUGCCAGUUUUGCAGACUGAUUUAUAGUUAAUAUCUGCCAGCAAAUUCAUGGCCCUUUUAGGACAUCAAGCACAGGAAAAAAGAUCUUGUUCUCACCAGAAUUAGGGACUUCCAGACCCCUGUCCUGUCUGAGAAGACUUUAAAGUAGGAGAGAAGGUUUCCUGUAUUUUCUUGCCCCACUACACAUACCUGCGAAGGCCAGAGUAUAAACUUAUCUCUGUGGAGGCAAGGAUUUAUCUCUUGAAACAAGCAUUUAACUUAGAAGGAGCACUGUGAAACCUACCAUAAAUCAUCCUAAACUUGCAAUUUUUAAGGAAAACAAUUAUAUACCUGAUCUAAAUUGAUCCAGUUUAAUAAGAAUCUCAUUUAUUAUUUAUAUGCCUUAUAAAGCUGCUGGCACAUGAGGAAGUUAUGAGUAACUAAGGAAGUUCACAUAGCAAAAACUUAUUACCUGUUAUUGCUGUUCCUUGACUAUUUUGAUGGUCGCAUGCUGGGUAUGUUUACACAAAAAAUCAGACUCUCCAACAAGAUAAUAUGAAUUUAACAGAAAUGUUGCUAACUUCAUUUCCACUGUACAGCAAAAUACUACUCUGUGAGGUUUAAGUAUGGAUAGUUGGAUGGAAUGAAGUCACAAAUACCCAGCAGUUUUCCUCCAUAGAGUUGCAACAGAGGUACAGUGACCUGUUUUUCAAAAUCCUGACAAGUCUUUGAUCAAACAUGAAAAGAAAUACAAUUUUAUUCAGACAAUUUAGAGCCAAAGCAUUGUUUACUUCCCUCCCCCCCCCCCUUUUUUUUUUUAAUGGUGGGUUUCUUAUCAAACAAGCUCAGCUUCAAUCUUAAGUCAUCAUUUGACAUUCCAGUUGCAUGGGUGUCUUUGCAUAGAGGCAGACUAUUUUGCAGUGAGGUUCAGUUCUAUUUAAUAGAUGAAAGUGAAUUCUAAAGGUUGAAAUUCUACCAAUAAAACUCAGAAGAACAGUGAUUUUAAUGACUUGCAACCGAAUGACCUACACUAGGCUGAAUUCUGACACAGGUGAGUGGGACAGCAGGAGUAAGAUCCAGGAGUCAAAUUAGAAAGAACCCUUUUCCAAAAGCACAAGGACGCAGAUUUUGAUUGGAUUGGUUAUCUCCUUCGGGAGGCAAGAUCUGUGUUUGGGAUUGCUCAUUUUGGGGCAGGGAAGGGAAGAGGCAGGUGGCAGGACAGGCACACAACACAACAUAUUGGGGGUAAUGUAGAAUGUUUGCCAGUCUGAGCAAAGGAGAUAUGCCAUUUAUUUUCCCAAGUGUCCUGCAAAAGGCUAUUUGAGAAGUGCAGUGACGUUUGACAAAUUGUCAAAAUCUUUGAGGUGACUCUGAUGCUGUCAGAGCAUUUUUCUCUCACCUCACACAAAGCUUUUCAACUCCUCCUAUUUUAACAAACCUAACCACAAAAAGUCAUCAGAUAUUCUUUUGCUAUUUUAGAUGGCUAUUGUUCCACUGCAUUUAAUCAUUAAGGAACCAGAAGGGACACAUUUCACUGAAAAAUAUUCAUUUGACCCUUUGUAAACAGCAACUUGAAGCAUUUUAACAGGCUCUUCAAACUGUUUGGGCAGAAAUAAAGAAGCAUCUGGUUUGAAGCAUGCUUUCAUAUUGUAUUGUUUAUGUUGAUAGCUUAAGUUCUUUGCUGUGCAUUGUUAUUUCUGACAAUUGAAUACAGAACAUUUUUGAUUCAACAAAGUACUUUCAUUCUACAGCAUGGGAAUAAAGCAAUCAAAGCUGA